CCUACGGGAGGCAGCAGUGGGGAAUAUUGGACAAUGGGCGAAAGCCUGAUCCAGCCAUGCCGCGUGUGUGAAGAAGGCCUUCGGGUUGUAAAGCACUUUCAGUGGGGAAGAAAGCCUUGGGGCUAAUACCCUCGAGGAAGGACAUCACCCACAGAAGAAGCACCGGCUAACUCCGUGCCAGCAGCCGCGGUAAUACGGAGGGUGCGAGCGUUAAUCGGAAUUACUGGGCGUAAAGCGCGCGUAGGCGGUCUGAUAAGCCGGUUGUGAAAGCCCCGGGCUCAACCUGGGAACGGCAUCCGGAACUGUCAGGCUAGAGUGCAGGAGAGGAAGGUAGAAUUCCCGGUGUAGCGGUGAAAUGCGUAGAGAUCGGGAGGAAUACCAGCGGCGAAGGCGGCCUUCUGGACUGACACUGACGCUGAGGUGCGAAAGCGUGGGUAGCAAACAGGAUUAGAUACCCGAGUAGUC
rnacentral:rRNA from 1 species